rnacentral:rRNA from 1 species
UACGUAGGGGGCAAGCGUUGUCCGGAUUUAUUGGGCGUAAAGAGCGUGUAGGCGGUCAGGUAGGUCCGUUGUGAAAACUCGAGGCUCGACCUCGAGACGCCGAUGGAAACCAUCUGACUAGAGUCCGGAAGAGGAGAGUGGGAUUCCUGGUGUAGCGGUGAAAUGCGCAGAUAUCAGGAAGAACACCCGUGGCUAAGGCGGCUCUCUAGUACGGUACUGACGCUGAGACGCGAAAGCGUGGGGAGCGAACAGG